rnacentral:rRNA from 1 species
ACGAACGCUGGCGGCACGCUUAACACAUGCAAGUCGAACGAGAGAAGAGGAGCUUGCUUUUCUGAUCUAGUGGCGGACGGGUGAGUAACACGUGAGCAAUCUGCCUUUCAGAGGGGGAUACCGAUUGGAAACGAUCGUUAAUACCGCAUAACAUAAUUGAACCGCAUGAUUUGAUUAUCAAAGAUUUAUCGCUGAAAGAUGAGCUCGCGUCUGAUUAGCUAGUUGGUAAGGUAACGGCUUACCAAGGCGACGAUCAGUAGCCGGACUGAGAGGUUGAUCGGCCACAUUGGGACUGAGACACGGCCCAGACUCCUACGGGAGGCAGCAGUGGGGAAUAUUGCACAAUGGAGGAAACUCUGAUGCAGCGAUGCCGCGUGAGGGAAGAAGGUUUUAGGAUUGUAAACCUCUGUCUUCAGGGACGAAAAAAGACGGUACCUGAGGAGGAAGCUCCGGCUAACUACGUGCCAGCAGCCGCGGUAAUACGUAGGGAGCGAGCGUUGUCCGGAAUUACUGGGUGUAAAGGGAGCGUAGGCGGGAUCGCAAGUCAGAUGUGAAAACUAUGGGCUUAACCCAUAAACUGCAUUUGAAACUGUGGUUCUUGAGUGAAGUAGAGGUAAGCGGAAUUCCUAGUGUAGCGGUGAAAUGCGUAGAUAUUAGGAGGAACAUCAGUGGCGAAGGCGGCUUACUGGGCUUUAACUGACGCUGAGGCUCGAAAGCGUGGGGAGCAAACAGGAUUAGAUACCCUGGUAGUCCACGCCGUAAACGAUGAUUACUAGGUGUUGGAGGAUUGACCCCUUCAGUGCCGCAGUUAACACAAUAAGUAAUCCACCUGGGGAGUACGACCGCAAGGUUGAAACUCAAAGGAAUUGACGGGGGCCCGCACAAGCAGUGGAGUAUGUGGAUUAAUUCGAAGCAACGCGAAGAACCUUACCAGGUCUUGACAUCGUAUGCAUAGCUCAGAGAUGAGUGAAAUCUCUUCGGAGACAUAUAGACAGGUGGUGCAUGGUUGUCGUCAGCUCGUGUCGUGAGAUGUUGGGUUAAGUCCCGCAACGAGCGCAACCCUUACUGUUAGUUGCUACGCAAGAGCACUCUAGCAGGACUGCCGUUGACAAAACGGAGGAAGGUGGGGAUGACGUCAAAUCAUCAUGCCCCUUAUGACCUGGGCCUCACACGUACUACAAUGGCUGUCAACAGAGGGAAGCAAAGCCGCGAGGUGGAGCAAACCCCUAAAAGCAGUCUUAGUUCGGAUUGUAGGCUGCAACCCGCCUACAUGAAGUCGGAAUUGCUAGUAAUCGCAGAUCAGCAUGCUGCGGUGAAUACGUUCCCGGGCCUUGUACACACCGCCCGUCACGCCAUGGGAGUCGGUAACACCCGAAGCCUGUAGUCUAACCGCAAGGAGGACGCAGUCGAAGGUGGGAUUGAUGACUGGGGUG